CGCAUCCUCUGCCGCCAUCGUUGCUCGCCCCGGUCCCCGUCCUGCAGCGGUGGCCGAGGAGGACUAGCCGCGCCACGGCCGCACGUCCCGUCCUGCAGCGAUGGUCCACGGGAUCGGCACCGGCACCGGCCUCCUUGCUCCCGCUUGAGUCAUGGAGGGACAACCAGCAGCGGCGGCCCAGGAGAUCGACGACUAGCGAGGCGAGUCGCCUUCGAUUCUGCAGGAGCCCGAUGGUUGUCUCCUCCUCCACAGCCGCACACGAGCGGCCAGCCCUGGACUAGGUCGCGACAUGAGAAGCGGACGUCCGAGGCAUGUCCAGCGCCACUGCCCGCUCGAUACGUCCCCCGCCCCAGCUGCCGACCCCCUCCUCCACGGCGGCGCCUUCGUCCCCGGCGAUGCACGGCAGCAGCCCACUACAGGACGGUGAAGAUAGGGGACAAGAGCUGCUCGCUGCAGCCGCUUGUCGGCGGCCCCAACGGCCUCGUCCCCUGCCAAGAUGAUAAGCCGCGAGAUGGCGGUGCCGCCGAUGGCCAGCCGCAGGACGAGACCAGGGACAAUAGGCCCCUGAUCGACAAUAACACCGUGCAGACGCUGUCCAGCAAGGACAUCGAGGCGAUGAAGCGGGAGGAUGCCAGCGGUGACUCCAUCGUGGAGGCUUUGAUAGCAAAUGGCUCCACAUUUGGAAAUAAGACAGUGUUCUCAGAGAAAUACAAGCUGAAGGAACAAAACAAAUAUGCGCCUAAAGUGCUUUUGCGGCGCCCCUCUACCCGAAGGUUUAUGUGAGUUGAUGCGCUCUCCCUCUUGUUGUCUAUGGCAAUUGUUGGUGCAUAUUCAGAUGUGCUUGCCGUUGAUAUGGUUGGGGGUUUAGUUGUUGGAGCUGUAUCUGAACACUUAGGAGGGAUUUGCGCGGUGGAGACAGCUAUCCAUUUGUGCGGUCAUUGGAUUAGUAAACAGAGAGGGGGGAGGGAGGGAGCAAUGGACAAGAAGGCAACAAAGAUGAAGAUGCUCUCGUCGGCAGCGGCUUUUGUGGAGGGUGGCGUGCAGGACACCUUCGACGACGCCUGCAUCAUCUGCCUUGAGAACUUCUGCGACAGCGAGCCCUCCGAUAGCGACCUCUCUCUUGCGGAUGUUACAAGCUGCAAGCAUGAUUUCUUUCUCCAGUGCAUCCUUGAGUGGCUGAGCCUUGUGUUGGGAGGAUCCCAGGCUGAAUGAUGCUUGAUCUCCUUUUGGAGGAGCUUAUGUUUACCGCAGCCCGUUAUAGUCGAAGGGGCUGUUUAAGUAACACCAUGAGUUCAUUUACUGGUGUUCGAUCCUCCGAUGAGGCAGCGGCGGAAGACUUGCCUUUUUGAAGCCAUCAGGACCAUCGAAAAUGCCACAAGCACAGUGGUUAAAGAUCUGAAUUAUGGACGCUUAAACAAGAUGGAACAAGACUUUGGUUAUCUAAGGCUCAGGCUCAAUGAAGCAUUUGACACAAUAGACAGGGUUGCCAAAGGAUAUUUGUAUGCUAUAAGAUACAUGCCAGCUUUCUUACACCAGCUUCAUAAUGUGAUAGCACAUGCUUUUCCUCCUACUCGUGUUGUGGACAAGUCAACAAAUGAGGCUCUCAAGAAUAUUGAGGUGGUAGCUCAUAAUCUCAGGACAGAAGCAAUAGUCUUGAGAACAAGCUAUAUGUGAGAAGGCAGAGUCAAGCGCGUGAACAUGAGGUAUUUGCACCUGUGGCUUUCUUUGGUCGUGACGUUUAAGAUAAGCGCGUGAACAUGCGUAGCUUGAUUUCGGACUAAAUCCUUUGUAGUUGCGUGGACCAACUUCUAUAUACUAAAUAUGUAUAGCUUGCUUUUGAACUGAACCUGUUGUUUCCUGAACCAAUUGCUAUGUAUUGAAUGUGUAUAUAUCGAUGCAAUGCUUCAAAUAUAAACUUG
rnacentral:rRNA from 1 species